rnacentral:rRNA from 1 species
UACAGAGGUCCCAAGCGUUGUUCGGAUUCAUUGGGCGUAAAGGGUGUGUAGGUGGCGCCGUAAGUCGGGUGUGAAAAUCUCGGGGCUUAACCUCCGAAACUGCAUUCGAUGCUGCCGUGCUUGAGGACUGGAGAGGAGACUGGAAUUUACGGUGUAGCGGUGAAAUGCGUAGAUAUCAGGAGGAACACCAGCGGCGAAGGCGGCGCUCUGGGCCGGAACUGACGCUGAGGAGCGAAAGCGUGGGUAGCAAACAGG